GUGGGGAAUCUUGCGCAAUGGGCGAAAGCCUGACGCAGCGAUGCCGCGUGCGGGAAGACGGCCUUCGGGUUGUAAACCGCUUUCAGCAGGGACGAAAUUGACGGUACCUGCAGAAGAAGCUCCGGCCAACUACGUGCCAGCAGCCGCGGUAAGACGUAGGGGGCGAGCGUUGUCCGGAAUUAUUGGGCGUAAAGGGCUCCUAGGCGGUUCAGUAAGUCGACUGUGAAAAUCCAAGGCUCAACCUUGGGACGCCAGUCGAUACUGCUGUGACUCGAGUUCGGUAGAGGAGUGUGGAAUUCCUGGUGUAGCGGUGAAAUGCGCAGAUAUCAGGAGGAACACCAACGGCGAAGGCAGCACUCUGGGCCGAUACUGACGCUGAAGAGCGAAAGCGUGGGGAGCAAACAGGAUUAGAAACCCUUGUAGUCC
rnacentral:rRNA from 1 species